UCCUCUUUGGCCUCUUCCUUGGCCACCUCCCUCUCUUCCUUGGCCACCUCCCCCGCUUCCUUGGCCACCUCCCCCUCUUCCUUGGCCAGCUGCCCCUCUUUUUUGUCCAUCUCCUCCUCCUUGGCCACCUCCUCUUCCUGCUCCUCUCCCGCCACCUCGUCAAUGCUUCCAUUUACCCCUAUGAUGUCUCCUUUUCUUCUAACAACAAAAAGAGAUUAAGAUACUACUAACACAUGAAGGAAUAGUACUGUAUGUUCAUGUAGUAUCAUUAUUCUUGAAAGUAAUAUGAAA